UACAGAGGUCCCGAGCGUUGUUCGGAUUCACUGGGCGUAAAGGGUUUGUAGGCGGCCUUGUAAGUCAGGUGUGAAAGCCCUCGGCUCAACCGAGGAACAGCGCUUGAUACUGCAAGGCUUGAGGGAGACAGGGGUAAGCGGAACUGAUGGUGGAGCGGUGAAAUGCGUUGAUAUCAUCAGGAACACCGGUGGCGAAAGCGGCUUACUGGGUCUCUUCUGACGCUGAGGAACGAAAGCUAGGGUAGCGAACGGG
rnacentral:rRNA from 1 species